CUUGGCACCAGAAGCUAGAGCCCCUCGGGGCUCGCCCCCCGCCCCCCCGGCCUCACCAGGUCAGUGAAAAAAAAACGAUCAGAGUAGUGGUAUUACACCGGCAGCCCUCAAGGCGGGCAGACCCCGCCCCGCCCCCUCCCGGGGACAGUGGGGCGCCGGGGGCCUCCCACUUAUUCUACACCUCUCACGUCUCUUCACCGUGCCAGACUAGAGUCAAGCUCAAGCUCAACAGGGUCUUCUUUCCCCGCUGAUUCCGAGGAUAUGUAUUUUUAUUCUGGCAGCAAUGUUCAAUAUCUUACGUACGAAAUAUAAAAACAAUCACUGCUGCUCUUAUGCUUUAAUAGAAAACAGAAAUAGUAAUGACUUUAAGAGUGUGUUGACAUGAACUUAUUUGAUAUAAAUCAGCAAUAGAUUCAUAGGUCACAGGAUAAUGAUAUAAAUUAUCUUCCACCCUAAUGUUGAAAUUGGAGAAAAGUGGAAAAAUAUGCCUCAAAAUCUAAAUAUUCAAGUGAAUGCAAGUUGUUAAUAAAAAUUUCACUUUGUAUAUUGGCAAAGAAUUUCAGAGAUCAUGUAAUUAUCACAAGGUGUCAGGUGUCAGCCAAAGGGCUAAUAGGAAAAUCUUUCUAAAAACAAAAAAUAUCCAGGUGUGGUGGUGCAUGCCUCAGCUACUUGGGAGGCUGAGGCAGGAGAAUCACUUGAACCUGUGAUGUGGAAGCUGCAGUGAGCCGAGAUUGUGCCACUGCACUUCAGCCUGGGCAACAGAAAAAGACUUGGUCUCACAAAAAAAUAAAGAAAGAAAAUAAAGAAAAGAAAAUCUUGCAUAGGUCUCAGUCAUGUUAAUCAAUAAGGUACUGAACCUAAUAUGAUCUCCUUUUUUACAUUACUUUUUUUAUAUUACAAGCACAAUCAAAAUUUUUCGUUAAAAAAUAGAAAAUAAUACAGGCAGGCAUAUGGGAAGAAAUAAAAAUAA
rnacentral:lncRNA from 1 species